AUAUUUGCAUGGAUGUGCUUCAAGUAAAGAGCUUUUGUUUGCUUGGUUUAGAAUUCAGGUUGCGCCUGCAGAGCCUGCCCUUUGGGGUCUCCAUGGCCUCCCAGAGGGGCGCUGUCCCCCACCCUGGUUUCUGCCCCUCCCCAGGUGAGCUGGUCCCUUUGUGAUGCUGAUGUAAGUGCCCAGGAGGGGCUCUUAUGACUCCCUCGCACACCCACUGCCACUUGCCUCAGGCAGAUGUCCCUGUCAGAUAUGAGUCACCUGUUCCUGUCUAGCAGGCCCACAGCAGUGGGCCAGGCAGUCCUUGCUCUGCCAGCAUUGGGGCCCUGGUCAGCCAGCACACGCUCCUGACUAAGGUAACCCACGAAGACCGGACUCCAGGGGCUGCAGAGUCGAGCUCCCAGUGAUGUGAGGGAUGCAGGCUGGGCCAGCUAGGUGGUUCCAGUCCCUGAAAAGCCCUUCCUGCCCUGUAGAUCAUGGUUAUAACCCUAGAUGCUGUUUCCAAUGUCAUGUCUGCUUUAGAAAUGAGUGUCAGUCACUCAGGACAGAGGCCAUGUCUUGUUCAUCACUGUACCAAGCACAUAACAGAAGGAUGUGUGCUAUGUUAGGGCUUUCCUGUGGAAUUCAUGCAAAGAAAGGAAAAGAGCCUUUUAUUAUUUGAACUAUGGCCUUGGGUUAAAUCCUUCUCACAUUUGUACCUUAAUAUUCAAAGAAGCCAUCAUCAAGUCUAUUACAGAUGAAAAUAAGGAGUUUGAUGAGAAUGAAGAUCAUGGAAAGGCAAAUAUAGUUUUCAAAAAGCUUUUGAAAUUA